rnacentral:rRNA from 1 species
AACGAACGCUGGCGGCAUGCCUAACACAUGCAAGUCGAACGAGAUCUUCGGGUCUAGUGGCGCACGGGUGCGUAACGCGUGGGAAUCUGCCCUUUGGUUCGGAAUAACAGUUGGAAACGACUGCUAAUACCGGAUGAUGACGAAAGUCCAAAGAUUUAUCGCCAGAGGAUGAGCCCGCGUAGGAUUAGCUAGUUGGUGUGGUAAAGGCGCACCAAGGCGACGAUCCUUAGCUGGUCUGAGAGGAUGAUCAGCCACACUGGGACUGAGACACGGCCCAGACUCCUACGGGAGGCAGCAGUGGGGAAUAUUGGAGAAUGGGCGAAAUCCUGAUCCAGCAAUGCCGCGUGAGUUAUGAAGGCCUUAGCGUUGUAAAGCUCUUUUACCCGGGAUGAUAAUGACAGUACCGGGAGAAUAAGCUCCGGCUAACUCCGUGCCAGCCGCCGCGGUAA